AUGCACGCUGGCGGCGUGCCUCAUCCAUGCCAGUCGAGCGAACAGAUGAGGAGCUUGCUCCUCUGACGUUAGCGGCGGACGGGUGAGUAACACGUGGAUAACCUACCUAUAAGACUGGGAUAACUUCGGGAAACCGGAGCUAAUACCGGAUAAUAUAUUGAACCGCCUGGUUCAAUAGUGAAAGACGGUUUUGCUGUCACUUAUAGAUGGAUCCGCGCCGCAUUAGCUAGUUGGUAAGGUAACGGCUUACCAAGGCAACGAUGCGUAGCCGACCUGAGAGGGUGAUCGGCCACACUGGAACUGAGACACGGUCCAGACUCCUACGGGAGGCAGCAGUAGGGAAUCUUCCGCAAUGGGCGAAAGCCUGACGGAGCAACGCCGCGUGAGUGAUGAAGGUCUUCGGAUCGUAAAACUCUGUUAUUAGGGAAGAACAAAUGUGUAAGUAACUAUGCACGUCUUGACGGUACCUAAUCAGAAAGCCACGGCUAACUACGUG
rnacentral:rRNA from 1 species